rnacentral:rRNA from 1 species
GACGAACGCUGGCGGCGUGCUUAACACAUGCAAGUCGAACGGAAAGGCCCUGCUUUUGUGGGGUGCUCGAGUGGCGAACGGGUGAGUAACACGUGAGUAACCUGCCCUUGACUUUGGGAUAACUUCAGGAAACUGGGGCUAAUACCGGAUAGGAGCUCCUGCUGCAUGGUGGGGGUUGGAAAGUUUCGGCGGUUGGGGAUGGACUCGCGGCUUAUCAGCUUGUUGGUGGGGUAGUGGCUUACCAAGGCUUUGACGGGUAGCCGGCCUGGGAGGGUGACCGGCCACAUGGGGACUGCGAUACGGCCCAGACUCCUACGGGAGGCAGUAGUGGGGAAUAUUGCACAAUGGGCGGAAGCCGGAGUCAUAAGCGCCGCGGGCGGGAUGACGGCCUUCGGGGUGUAAACCGCUUUCGGCUGUGACGAAGCGGGAGUGACGGUAAUGGGUAAAGAAGCACCGGCUAACUACGUG